rnacentral:rRNA from 1 species
UGAGUAACACGUAUCCAACCUGCCGUCUACUCUUGGACAGCCUUCUGAAAGGAAGAUUAAUACAAGAUGGCAUCAUGAGUCCGCAUGUUCACAUGAUUAAAGGUAUUCCGGUAGACGAUGGGGAUGCGUUCCAUUAGAUAGUAGGCGGGGUAACGGCCCACCUAGUCUUCGAUGGAUAGGGGUUCUGAGAGGAAGGUCCCCCACAUUGGACUGAGACACGGCCAA